AAGGCAUGCAAGUCGAAUGGGUUUAGACCCAUGGCAGACGAGGUAGUAACACGUAGGAACGUCCCCGGAAGUCGGGCAUAAUCAGUCGAAAGGCUAGCUAAUUCUCGAUAGUCUCGCAAGAGUAAAGUUUUUCGCUUCCGGAGCGGCCUGCGCAGCAUCAGCUUGUUGGUAAGGUAAUGGCUUACCAAGGCUACGACGCUUAGGGGAGGUGAGAGCCUGACCCCCACCGAUCGGACUGAGACACGGCCGAUACUCCUACGGGAGGCAGCAGCCGAGAAUAUUCGACAAUGGGCGAAAGCCUGAUCGAGCGAUACCGCGUGAUGGAUGAAGUACUUUGGUACGUAAACAUCUUUUAUAGGGGAGGAAUCUUAUUGACGGUACCCUAUGAAUAAGGGGCUCCUAACUCUGUGCCAGCAGCCGCGGUAAUACAUAUGUCCCGAGUGUUACCCGGAAUAAUUGGGUGUAAAGGGUUCGUAGGCGGAUUGAAAAGUUAGAUAUGAAAGACCGAAGCUCAACUUCGUGUUUGUAUCUAAAACUCUCAAUCUAGAAUUAGGGAGAGGUAAGCGGAAUUCUAAGUGUAGGGGUGCAAUCCGUAGAUACUUAGAGGAACACCGAAAGCGAAGGCAGCUUACUGGAACUAUAUUGACGCUGAGGAACGAAAGCG
rnacentral:rRNA from 1 species